UGUAGAGAGAGAGAGAGAGAGAGAGAGAGAUGAGUUCAGUCUAAAUUGAAAGGCAAGGCUUUGACAUUAAAGGGAUAAUGGGUGGUAAGUUUGGGACUGGGGUUUAGAGAAAUGGGAUAUAUUUUUUACUUACAGAAAGCAGGUCUAGACCACUUCGUUCCAAACCAGGAACAGCAGAGACCAAAUCUUUAGGGUUCAGAGAAAAGGGAUAUAUUUUUUACUUACAGAAAGCAGGUCUAGACCACUUCGUUCCAAACCAGGAACAGCAGAGACCAAAUCUUUAGGGCGCCACUGUGGAUACUCAUGCCAGUUUGUUAGUUUGCUUACACCAG
rnacentral:lncRNA from 1 species